rnacentral:lncRNA from 1 species
UGGUGUUGGCCGAGUGGUGAUGUAGGAAGUUAAAAUAUGUUAUUAAUGGAUGGAUGUUACGUCAUCGAUGUUCACAACCGUAAAAUCCGGGUUGAGCGACCAAUAGUUUUAUCUGACAUCCUGACGUUCCCCAAAUCCUGAGUCACGUCGCACCUUUCAUUAUCAGCAUCAAAAGUUUCAAAACAGAUAACCGCCUACUCAGUUUCUUGUGAAUAGUAUCUGAAAAUCGAAACAAAAUGGGUUAACCUCUUUUUAUAUUUUGCUGAGUUGUUUUUCACCUCAAAGCGGAUAUAGAUUUUAAUAAUUAAUAAUGUGACCUUGCAUAAAAAUAGCAAUGACUUAUUAAACAGUAUUUGAUUUUCAUUGAUGAAAUAAUAAUAAACUUAUUCAUAGUCAUAUUUGUAUUCGACCAGGAUCACAUACUUUUGUUGUGGGUUGAAGUUUUGUCAACAAACUCUAGAGUUAUCAGUAACGCACAAUGGGAGACUGCAGUGGUCAGAGGGUGCUUGUGGCUGCUAGUUAUUGUGUUGUCUGUAGUCACGGCGAUAUUGAUAGGCGUGCUUGGUAUGGAGAGAAACAAGGGAAGAAAAGAAGACCGAGCUGACAAGCGAAAACAUAAUAAAGGCGUAUCCUAGUAGCUUUAGAACCCAAACUGAACAAAAUCUAUAUCUGCGAAAAUAUAUAGUAGGAAUUGAAAAUAGGACAAAAGUUCAAAAUGUUACAUUUUCCCAAAAUGGAAGGUGCGGAUUUUCUUGUUUUAAAGGGGAAUUUCCUGCUAGACGCCGGAGAGAAGCGACUGGUGGUGUGUUACAUGGAUGCUGUCAGUCGUCAGUACAGUUUGUAUUUCCCAGCACGAAACCAAAUAUAUUCGGCGUGAGCCGUACUCUGUUGCAGCUCAGUGAUGCUAGACAGUACUUCGCCGAACAUCAGUGCGCAACGACGGCUGGGUGUACUGGGUGCACGUGUUAUCGAGAGAACAACUUACACACAGCUGUAGUUUUAAAGUCACACAUCAGUGAUAUCGAUGACGCAGAGUAUGUAGAAGACACUGAGACGGACUUCUUUUAUUUUGACGGUUGUUGCAAGUGUAUUAAUACUUAAUUCAAACAAGACUUUCAUGACUUUCUUCGUUUGUCGAUGGACUUCUUUUUUAGUUGAAGGAUGUUGUAAUUGUGUCAAUAAAUAACUUAAUUUUUUUUAACUUUCCUGGAAUCUGUAAGAGUAUGAUACACGUCUUUAACUUUGACGUGUGUUACAACUGUAUUAAUAACUUAGCCAAAUACAACUUUCCUGGAAUCUCUUAGUGUAUCGAAGAACUUUUAUUUUGACGGGCGUUGCAAGUAUUCAAAAAGAAUAUAAAUGUAA